rnacentral:rRNA from 1 species
CCUGCGGAGGGAUCAUUACUGAGUUACCGCUCUAUAACCCUUUGUGAACAUACCUAACCGUUGCUUCGGCGGGCAGGGGAAGCCUCUCGCGGGCCUCCCCUCCCGGCGCCGGCCCCACCACGGGGACGGGGCGCCCGCCGGAGGAAACCAAACUCUAUUUACACGACGUCUCUUCUGAGUGGCACAAGCAAAUAAUUAAAACUUUUAACAACGGAUCUCUUGGUUCUGGCAUCGAUGAAGAACGCAGCGAAAUGCGAUAAGUAAUGUGAAUUGCAGAAUUCAGUGAAUCAUCGAAUCUUUGAACGCACAUUGCGCUCGCCAGCAUUCUGGCGAGCAUGCCUGUUCGAGCGUCAUUUCAACCCUCAAGCACCGCUUGGUUUUGGGGCCCCACGGCACACGUGGGCCCUUAAAGGUAGUGGCGGACCCUCCCGGAGCCUCCUUUGCGUAGUAACUAACGUCUCGCACUGGGAUUCGGAGGGACUCUUGCCGUAAAACCCCCCAAUUUUUUACAGGUUGACCUCGGAUCAGGUAGGAAUACCCGCUGAACUUAAGCAUAUCAA